UACGUAGGGGGCGAGCGUUGUCCGGAAUCACUGGGCGUAAAGCGCGCGUAGGCGGCGCGGCGCAUCCCGUGUGAAAGCGCCCGGCUCGACCGGGCGAGGCCACGGGAGAUGGCCGCGCUGGAGGGCGGCAGAGGCAGGCGGAAGGCCCGAAGUAGUGGUGAAAUGCGUAGAGAUCGGGCGGAACACCAGUGGCGAAGGCGGCCUGCUGGGCCGACCCUGACGCUGAGGCGCGAAAGCCAGGGGAGCGAACGGA
rnacentral:rRNA from 1 species